ensembl:lncRNA
AGGUGAAAGUGCCUGCUCUGUCUAUUGGCCUUCCAUUGUAUUUGUAUUUUUCAGUGUUGAUUUCCCCCGGGUCUCCACUCCAUUGUGGGGUUUUUUUUCUGUUUUUUUGUUUUUUUUUUUGCUUAAAGAUUGCCACCUGAGCUAAGCCUCUGUUUCCCAUCUUUGUCAGUUUCAGAGGGUAGAUUUCUCAGUCUUGCUCUUUCCCAAGUUCUGCACGCCCUUGUGUGUGUGUGUGUUUUUUUUUUUUUUUGCUCAAAUAUUGAACCUAAGCUAGCAUCUGUUGCCCAUCUUCGUCAGUUUGAGAGGGUAGGUUUCUCAGUGUUGCUUUUUCCCCAGGUCUCCAAGUCCCUCAGUGUGUGUGUGUGAGUGUGUGUGUUUUCUUUGCAAGAUUGGCACUUGAGCUAACGUGUGUUGCCCAUCUUUGUCAGUUUCAGAGGGUGGAUUUCUCCGUGCUGCUUUUUACCCGGGUCUCCACGCCCUUGUGUGUUUCUUUUGCUUAACGAUUGCCACCUGAGCUAAGCCUCUUCUUGCUCUUUCCCAAGUUCCGCACGCCCUUGUGUGUGUGUGUUUUUUUUUUUUUGCUCAAAUAUUGAACCUAAGCUAGCGUCUGUUGCCCAUCUUCGUCAGUUUGAGAGGGUAGAAUUCUCAGUGUUGCUUUUUCCCCAGGCCUCCACGCCCUUAGUUUUCCUUUUGCUUAAAGAUUGCCACCUGAGCUAGCCUCUGUUGCGCUUCUUUCUCAGUUUCCUCUCAGAAGUGCCAGAAGCAUGUGCCGGACAGGCCGGAACCAUCUCCCGGACAGACCGGAACCACAGGAAACACUCGCCGGAACCACCUGCUUGACUCACCGGUCCCACCUGCCGGACACGCCAAAAUCACCUGCCCUCUACACCAGAAUUACAUGGCGGACAAGUUGGAAUCACAUGAAAGGCAUGCCGACACAACCUCUCAGACGUGGAGAACCUCGUGCCGGACACCCCAGAACCACCUGUAGGACACACCGGAACCACCUGCCGGACACGCCGGAACCACUGGAUCGACUCAACAGAACCACCGCCGGACAUGCAAAAUCACCUGCCGGCUACGCCAGAAACACUUGGCGAACACUCCGGAAUCACCUGCCGGGCAUGCCGGAACCACCUCUCAGACAUGUCAGAACCACAUGCCAAUGACACCAGAAGCACCUGCCGAGCACGCCGGAACCACCUGCUCGACUCGCCAGAACCACCUGCCGGACCCGCCAAAAUCACCUGCCGGCUACGCCACAACCAGCUGGUGAACACUUUGGAAUCACCUGCCGGGCUUGCUGGAACCACCUGCCGGUCACGCCAACAUUACCGGCCAGCUACGCCAGAACCACUUGGUGGACAUUCCGGAAACGCCUGUCUGUCCGGCCGGAACCACCUCUCAGACGUGCCAUAACCAUGUGCCUGAGAUGCCGGAAUCACACUCCAAACAGACCGAGACCACCUGCCAGACACGCGUGAACCACCUGACGAGCACCCCGGAACCACCUGCUUGACUCACCGGAACCACCUGCCUGACACGCCAAAAUCACCUGCCAGCUACGCCACAACCAGUUGGUGAACACUUCGGAAUCACCUGCAGCGCUUGCUGGAACCACCUGCUGGUCACGCCAAAAUCACCAGCCGGGUACGCCAGAAUCACCUGGCGGACACUCCGGAAUCACCUGCCGCGCAUGCCGGAAGCACCUCUCAGACGUGCUGGAAGCACUUGCCGGACACGCCGGAAACACAUACCGGACAGACUGGAACCAUCUGCCAGACAUGCCGGAACCACCUGCCGAGCACGCUGGAGCCACCUGCUCGAUUUGCCGGAACUACCUGCCAGACAGGCCAAAAUCAACAGCUGGCUAUGCUAGAACCACCUGGCGGACAGUCCGGAAUCACCUGCCGCACAUGCCGGAACCACCUGCCGGACGUGCCCCAACCACCGGCUCGACCCGCCGGAACCACCGCCGGACAUGCAAAAUCACCUGCCGGCUAUGCCAGAACCACUUGGCGAACACUCCGGAAUCACCUGAUGGGCAUGCCGGAACCACCUCUCAGACAUGCCAGAAACACGUGCCAAUGACACCGGAAGCACCUGCCGAGCACGCCGGAACCACCUGCUCGAGUCGCAGGACACUCAUGCCGGACACGCCAAAAGGAACUGCCGGCUACACCAGAACCACUUACACGACUCUCCAGAAUCACCUGCCUGGCAUGACAGAACCACCACUCAGAAGUGCCAGAAGCACGUGCCCGACAUGCCGGAACGACCUAUCAGACAGUACGGAACCACCUGCCAGACAUGCCCAAAUCACCUGCGGGCUACGCCAGAACCACUUGGCGGACACUCUGGAAUCACCUGCCGGGCAUGCGGGAACCACCUCUCAGACACGCCGGUACCACCUGCCAAACACACCACAGCCACCUGCUCGACUCGCCGUAACCACCUGCUGGACAGACUGGAAUCACCUUUUGGACAUGCCGGAACCACCUGUGAGCUGUGCCAGAAACACGUGCCAGAGACGCCGGAAGCACCUGCCGAGCACGUCGGAACCACCUGCUCAACUCGCCUGAACAAGCUGCCGGACAUGCCAAAAUCACCUGCCGGCUACGCCAAAACCACUUGGUGGACUCUCUGGAAUCACCUGCCGGGCGUGAUAGAACCACCUCUCAGACGUGCCGAAACCACGUGCCAGACACGCCAGAACCACCUGCCGGACCUGCCUGAACCAACUGUCGAGCACGCCAGAACCACAUGCUCGACUCGCUGCAACCACAUGGCGGACAUGGCAAAAUCACCUGCCG